CAAUGGAGAAUAUAAGAACCUUGAAUGAAUAUGGAAUUUAAAUUAUUUGUAGAUGUUUAGUGCACAGAAAAGAAGGAAGAAUCCUUUCUAAAUCAUGAUUGUGCUUUAAAAGCUUGUUUUUAAUAUUUAGCUGGCUUAGGCUUUUCUUUCUUUAAAAAUUAAAAGUUCUAUGUAGAAUCAUUUCUGUAAUUACUGACACCAGGCAAAAUCUGCAAUUUUGCAAUGAAUAAAAGGCAGAGACGGUUGGAAGUCAAGAAUAAUAAUUUAAAAAGGGCUUAGGGGGAACUAGACAAACAUUCUAGGGUAUCUAUUUGGUAUUCAUUAUUAUAAUAAAAUGCUUCUGUGCCUUUUAUUGGCAAGUCUUCAAAUAUGCUUCCUUGGGCAGGAUAGCUGAAUGGAUAAGGAAUAGUAAAUGUUUAGUUUCCAUUUAUACAAACUACUGUUAGAUAUAUUUAUGUAUCCUUAUUUUUCUGAAGACAAUUUGACCAGGUACACUCCGUGGUAGCCCAAAUGGGACAGAAUUGGCUGAUUAUUGAACGAUGGAACCUGACACAUGGAGACGAAUACAGUGUCUGGAUGGAAGUUCGCAGUGCAGAUGGGAUUGCUGUCUCCAAGAAAUUAAACUUCAGCCUGGAUGAAUUAGUUUCAGGAACUCUCUGUCUUCCUGAACUGGAUCAUGUGGAACUGGAUUGCUCUGAAGCCACAGUGACAUGGAAGAACCCGCAGUGGUCUGAAUUUCAUAAUGACCAAUCUCUCACCUAUGCUAUUCGAUACAAGGCAUCCACAGACCAUGAAUGGACCUAUGAGACCCACCUAGACCAAGAGAACCAUGAAUUGUAUGACCUGAAACCAUUCACCUGCUAUGAGGUGCAGGUACAGUGCAUCCCAGGAAAUAAAAAAGACUCUCGGAAUGAAUGGAGUUCUUCCAAAUCCUUCUGUACCUGUGAGGCUGCUCCUUUUGGUCAAGUUGAUGUGUGGCAAAAAGGCUGUAUCUCUGACCGCCAGAAUGAAAGCUGCUUGUUGCUGUGGAAGGUGAGCUGGGAUCCUGUUAUCAAGUAGAAUUUUUCUCUGUGGGGUUAUAGGUCAGGUCGGUUUUUUUAGAGCCAGAUGAUCUAAAGGGGUGAAAAGACAAUAGUUUAAAGAAACCAAAUCUCUUCAAGGAUGAUAUCAGUGACUGGAC
rnacentral:lncRNA from 1 species